CACGUGAAAUUCCGUCUGAAUCUGGAAGGACCAUCUCCUAAGGCUAGAUACUCUCUAGUGACCACUAGUGAACCAGUACCGUGAGAGAAAGGUGAAAAGCACCCCGCAAUGCUAUUGAAAGAGAACCUGAAACCUGGUGCUUACAAGUAGUCAGAGCACGGUAAUUGGUGAUGGCGUGCUUUUUGUAAAAUGAACCGGCGAGUUACAGAUUGUUGCAAGGUUAAUCAU
rnacentral:rRNA from 1 species